rnacentral:rRNA from 1 species
AGUGAACGCUGGCGGUAGGCCUAACACAUGCAAGUCGAACGGCAGCACAGGAGAGCUUGCUCUCUGGGUGGCGAGUGGCGGACGGGUGAGGAAUACAUCGGAAUCUACUUUUUCGUGGGGGAUAACGUAGGGAAACUUACGCUAAUACCGCAUACGACCUACGGGUGAAAGCAGGGGACCUUCGGGCCUUGCGCGAUUGAAUGAGCCGGUGUGGGAUUAGCUAGCUGGCGGGGUAAAGGCCCACCAAGGCGACGAUCCGGAGCUGGUCUGAGAGGAUGAUCGGCCACACUGGAACUGAGACACGGUCCAGACUCCUACGGGAGGCAGCAGUGGGGAAUAUUGGACAAUGGGCGCAAGCCUGAUCCAGCCAUACCGCGUGGGUGAAGAAGGCCGUCGGGUUGUAAAGCCCUUUUGUUGGGAAAGAAAUCCAGCUGGCUAAUACCCGGUUGGGAUGACGGUACCCAAAGAAUAAGCACCGGCUAACUUCGUGCCAGCCGCCGCAGUAA